UCUCAAGCUUGGCGUUUGUUUGGUGGGGUCCCACGCAAGUUCAACAAGCGAAUCGAGAAGUGUUAUUUCUGUUCGGGGCCCAUCUACCCUGGACACGGCAUGAUGUUCGUCCGCAACGAUUGCAAGGUGUUCAGAUUUUGCAAAUCUAAAUGUCAUAAAAACUUUAAAAAGAAGCGCAAUCCUCACAAAGUUAGGUGGACCAAAGCAUUCUGGAAAGCAGCUGGCAAAGAGCUUACAGUGGAUAAUUCAUUUGAAUUUGAAAAACGUAGAAAUGAACCUAUCAAAUACCAGCAAGAGCUAUGGAAUAAGACUGUUGAUGCAAUGAAGAGAGUUGAAGAGAUCAAACAGAAAUGCCAAGCUAAAUUUAUAAUGAACAGAUUGAAGAAAAAUAAAGAGCUAUAGAAAGUUCAGGAUAUCAAAGAAGUCAAGCAAAACAUCCAUCUUAUCCGAGCCCCUCUUGCAGGCAAAGGGAAGCAGUUGGAAGAGAAAAUGGUACAGCAGUUACAAGAGGAUGUGGACAUGGAAGAUGCUCCUUAAAAAUCUCUGUAACCAUUUCUUUUGUGCACAUUUGAAAAUGCCCUUUGGAUACUUGGAACUGCUAAAUUAUUUUAUUUUUUACAUAAGGUCACUUAAAUGAAAAGCGAUUAAAAUACAUCUUUCCUACAUUGCCAUCUACUUAACAUCAGAUAAUACGGAUGUUAGAUUGCAUCUCAGUGUUAAAUCUUCACUGAUAGAUGUACUUAAGUAAAUCAAGAAAAUUCUUCUUAUAACUAUAGAAGUGAAUUGUGGAUGUAAAAUGGUUAUGCCAUUUGGAUAAUGGCACUAGGCAGCAUUUGUAUAGUAACUAAUGGCAAAAAUUCAUGGCUAGUGAUGUAUAAAAUAAAAUAUUCUUUGCAGUAAAAUAUUUCCUUUGUUAAUGUUAUAGAAGGGAGGGAUACAAGAAGGAACUAACAAUUUGUAUGGCAGUGUCAGAUAUUAUUUUAAUUUUGUUAUUUCCUGUUUUGGUUUAUUUGCAUCUUAGAAGAGCAUACUGACAUUGUUUGAUGAAGCCUAAAUUAUGCUGGACUGUUUUGACCCUUUUGAUAGGUAGUUGUGGAUGUUGGGGAUGAGAACUGAAUAAUCUUUGCCUGGAGUGACACUACACUCUAGAAUUUCCACUUUGGAGAAUAUUCAGUUCUAACUUGUGAUUCCUGGUAGAACAAACUUUAUUUUUCUAGCCCAGCAAUGAUCUAGAAGCAGAGGAAUCCCAGCGCCUUUGAAAAGUUAUUAUGUGGUUUUCUUUUAAAAAGCUCCUGUUUUUGGAAAGUAGAAUUUGUGGGUACAACAUAUGUUCAUUAUUUGUACAUAAAAUAAAACCAUUUAAAAAGUAAAAAAAA